UGCCAGCAGCCGCGGUAAUACGAGGGGUGCUAGCGUUGUUCGGAAUCAUUGGGCGUAAAGCGGGUGUAGGCGGCCUUAUAAGUCAGAUGUGAAAUCCCUGGGCUCAACCCAGGACGUGCAUUUGAAACUAUAAGGCUUGAGUAUCAGAGAGGUUCGCGGAAUUCCAGGUGUAGUGGUGAAAUACGUAGAUAUCUGGAGGAACAUCGGUGGAGAAGUCGGCGGACUGGCUGAAUACUGACGCUCAGACCCGAAAGCGUGGGGAGCAAACAGGAUUAGAUA
rnacentral:rRNA from 1 species